UGCGGUGUGGACAGAAGCCUAUGGCAGUUUAGCAGCACUCCUUAUGGGAAUGACAGUGAGACAUACAAAUGUCCUCUGAUUUUAGGUGCUAUUGUUGCAGGAAUACCAUUCCCAUUAGCAGGACCAGCUCUUGAGUGAAAAUCUUUGGUAUCUACAGAACUGGCAGAAUCUGGCAGCAACACAAUCCAAAAUUCACAAAAUAAACAAAAAACAAGUGAAAAUAAACUGAGAACAAGAAAUGCCUUUCUAGCAGAGAGAUAAAUGCUCCAAUAAGAUAAUUCCAUGGCUCUUUAUCUUCUAUCAAGUCUCUUUUUUUUCUGUUAUCAUCACACAUUGAAUCCUUUAUUUUCAUAUGGAAACAGCUUAUUUUUCUGCUAAUGCUGUUUCCUGAGCCAUGAAGACAGAUUGCACAGGGUUUUUAAUAAAGUAACA